rnacentral:lncRNA from 1 species
AUCUCUUUCUUUUCUCCACAGACUGGCCCACCUGGCUUCUAACCUUAUAGGCUGUUUUGGUAUUUUUCUCUUGGUUAUUCUAGCACUGAGGCCAAAAUAACUAUGAGAGGGAUUUAGUUUAUAGUUAAACUUGGAGGCAAGGGAAACGAACCCCCUCCACCCCAUCCAGAGAUUCGGGCUGCAUUCACAUGACAAGAGUCUUGCUCAGUCGCCAGGCUGUAGUGCAGUGGCACGAUCUCAGCUCACUGCAGCCGCCACCUCCCAGGUUCAAGCGAUUCUCCUGCCUCAGCCUCCCGAGUAGCUGAGACUACAGAGCACCAUGGCCUGGCAAGGUCCGACGUUUUCCAAGGAUCCUGGCUGAGCUCCUGUGGAAGCUGCUUCUUACACUGAUGUGGUCCCUCGGCUGGCAGGCCCUUCUGCGGCCAACCAGGUGACACCUGCCAGUUAUGAGGGACAGGUAGGAGAGGAUGGGCUUUCCAUCAGAAAAAAAAAAAAAAAGGUUUUCCAAACUGCUUUUCUUUCAAAUUUUAAUCUUAAGACUAACCUACAUUAAUUUCUUAUUUUUAUCUCAUAAAGUCCAGAAUUUCUGAUAAUUUCAGUUCUUUUCCAGAGUGCAAAGAAGCAUUGGCUCUUCAGGUAUUAUGUUUAACAUUUUGCAGGAAUUGCUUUACUCUAUAGACAAAUAAACUACACAUUUAAGACUUAUUUCCUCUGUCAGUAAAUGUGAACGCUUUGACUAAUUUCUCAAGUGUGUUGUUUUGACAGUGAGGCAGAUAGCCUGCUGUUUUGGGUCAAACCUACGUAAAUGUACAUGACCCCAGCAAGAGAUUCUAGACUCAGCAGAGGAAUUCACAGCAAGAGUUGAUGUAGAAGUUGACAACCAAGGCCAGGCGCGGUGGCUCACGCCUGUAAUCCCAGCACUUUGGGAGGCCGAGGUGGGUGGAUCACGAGGUCAGGAGAUGGAGACCAUCCUGGCUAACAUGGUGAAACCCCGUCUCUACUGAAAAUACAAAAAUUAGCCGGGCGUGGUGGCGGCGCCUGUAGUCCCAGCUACUCAGGAGGCUGAGGCAGGAGAAUGGCGUGAACCUGGGAGGCAGAGCUUGCAGUGAGCAGAGAUGGCGCCACUGCACUCCAGCCUGGGCGACAGAGCAAGACUCAGUCUCAAAAACAAAAAAACAAAAAACAACAACAAAAAAACAAAAAAACCCAUAAUAGUAGUGAUAAGGCCGGUGCGGUGGCUCAUGCCUGUAAUCCCAGCACUUUGGGAGGCCAAGGCGGGCGGAUCACGAGGUCAGGAGUUUGAGACCAGCCUGGCCAACACGGUGAAACCCCGUCUCUACUAAAAAUACAAAAAUUAGCUGGACGUGGUGGCGGGCGCCUGUAAUCUUCUCAGACACCCAACCACCGGCUCCUCAGCCGGGGCAACUCCCUGUAAGAUGACGGCACCUUUUCACGGCCCCCCACCCUGCCCCAAAUCCCCGAUCCAGCUCCAAAUCCCCGAUCCAAACCCCAACCCGCGAUCCCAAAUCUGCGAUCUAGCCCAGAAUCCGCGAUCCAGCCGGGUCCACCACAGCCUUCAGCAGCGACACUCCCAGCCUCCGACCUCUCAGACCCAGUGAGCCUCGCAAGGCCAUUAGCAGCGCGCCUGCACCGCGGGGGCCGCCGGGCUCCCAGAACCCGCCCGGCCUCAGGAGCAGGGCCUGUCUGGCCGUGCGGCCCCACUUAAUCUUAAUAGCAAAUAAAACUCAGCAGUAUGCUGUGGUAUAUUCUAUAAUGAUUCUACACAAUUGUAGAUUGCAUUAGAAUAAUGUUUUUUAAAAUUAUUUUCUUGGUAACAAAUGGACACUUGAAAUUUUAUUUUAAUUUUAAUUUUUUUUUAAACAGAGUUUCACUCUUGUUGCCCAGGCUGGAGUGCAAUGGCGCGAUCUCGGCUCACUGCAACCUCUGCCUCCCAGGUACAAGUGAUUCUCCUGUCUCAGCCUCCCGAGUAGCUCGGAUUACAGGCACGGGCCACCACACCCGGCUUUUUUUUUUUUUUUUUUUUUUGGUAUUUAGUAGAGACGGGGUUUCAUCAUGUUAGGCUGGUCGCAAACUCCUGACCUCAGGUGAUCCACCUGCCUUGGCCUCCCAAAAUGCUGGGAUUACAGGAGUAAGCCACUGCGCCUGGGCAAAAUUUUAUUUUUUAAUAAUGCCAAGUGAUUUCAUUUUAAAUUAAACCGCAGCAUAAAUUGGAUUAUUUUCCUGCAUGAGUACCUUGCUCUUCAAACAAAAACAUUUUUUAAAGACCAAAUAUAUUGCAUACUUUUUUUUAAAAAAGCUCUGGCUGUGUGCAUUGGCUUACGCCUGUAAUCCCAACACUUUGGGGAGGCUGAGGGAGGAGGACUGUUUGAACCAGGAGUUUGAGACCGGCCUGGGCAACACAGUGAGACACUGGCUCUACAAUAAUCUUUCUUUAAAAGUUAGCCAGGUAUGGUGGUGCACAGCCAUGGUCCCAGACACUUGGGAGGUUGAGGUGGGAGGAUAGCUUGAGCCUGGGAGGUUGAGGCUGCAGUGAGCUAUGAUUGCACUCCAGCCUGGGUGACAGAGCAAGAACCUGUCUCAAAAACAUGUUCUUUUUUUUUUAAAAAUUUAUUUAUUUAUUUUUUAUUAUUAUUAUACUUUAAGUUUUAGGGUACAUGUGCACAAUGUGCCAGUUAGUUACAUAUGUAUACAUGUGCCAUGCUGAUGUGCUGCACCCAUUAACUCAUCAUUUAGCAUUAGGUAUAUCUCCUAAUGCUAUCCUUCCCCUCUCCCCCCAAAACACCCCCCAAAACAUGUUCUUACUGUAUAAGAAAUUAUGAAUGACAUUUAUUUUAUGUUAAAACAGUAUAUUUUAUCUACAAAAGGAGUAAAAGACAGUAAUACAAAAAAUUGGCACAUAAAGGAACAAAAAUGCUAAAAAAUUAAAAUUUACCAAUAAUCCUAUCACCUAAAUUGAUAAUUUUUAAUAUAAUUAAAUGUAGGAUUUUAAAAUAAAUUUCUUUUAAUUUAUUUAUUUAAACAUAUAGAUUAUUUUUAGACCCUCUUCAGGCAUCCCCUGUUGAAUAAGUUCCAUGAUUUACAGGCCUACUCUCUCUAUUAUUAAAUAUUUUAUUGCUUUCAAUGAACAACAUUUUUUGUAAACAUUUUCACAGAAACAAAUAUGGGCACAUUGAGACAUGUUUUCUUUUCAAAAAGUCCUAGCACUUUAAUUACUGUGUAAAGAGAUAUUAGUGUACAAUUUUCACACAUAUUGACUAACGUCCCUGCAAAAUGUUGAAUCAAUUUAUACUUGCAGCACCAAUCGGCAAAUUAAUGUCCAUUAUGCUUUCGCUUCACCAAAACUGAUACUUAUAUUUUAUUUUGCUAGACAAAAAUACAUAUUAUCUUAAUUUGCAUAACUGUAAUUAAUAGAAAGAUUAAAUUUUUUUUCAGAUGUAUCAUAGGACAUCAUUUUUUCUUGAGUCUGGUGGGUGCUUAGUUCCUUUAAAGCAUUAAUCUUGUAUACAUUAAUUUUAUGUGCAAAACAAUCAUUAAGUACAAUUUGAAAUAUGGAAAAAUAAAUAGCUGGAUUAAGAAAAAAACAAAUAGAGCUUCUGGAAUUAAAACAUUCACUAAUGGAAUUUCAAAACACAGUUGGAAUCUUUAACAAUAAACUAGACCAAGCAGAAGAAAUAAUUUUAGACUUUGAAACUGGUCUUUCAAAGUAACCCAGUCAGACAAAAAUAAAAGAAAAAAGAACUGAAAAACAAAGCCCUUAAGAAAUAUGGGAUUAUGUAAAGUGACCAAACUUAUAACUUAUUGGCAUUCCUACAACAGAAGAAUAAAAAGUAACCAACUAAGAAAGUAUAUUUAAGGGAAUAAUUUAGGAAAAGUUCUCUAGUCUUGCUAGAAAGGUUGACAUUCAGAUAUAAGAAAUUCAGAGAACACCUGUGGGAUAGUAAACAAGAUGCCCAUUCCUAAGGCAUCCACAGUCAUUAGAAUAGCUGUGGUCAAUGCAAAAGAAAAUAUAUUAAAGGCAGCUCAAACAAAGGGCCAAAUUACCUAUAAAGUAAAUUAGAUUAACAACAGACUUAGCAGCAGAUACCCUGCAACCUAGAAAAGAUUGGGGCCUAGCGUUAGCCUUCUCAAAGAAAAAAAAAAAUGCCAUCCAAUAAUUUCUUUUUUUUGGAGACAGAGUCUCACUUUGCCACCCAGGCUGGAGUGCCGUGGUGUGAUCUCAGCUCACUGCAACCUCUGCUUCCUGGGUUCAAGCAAUUCUCCUGCCUCAGCCUCCCCAGUAGCUGGGAUUACAGGUGCCCGCCACCACACCUGGCAAAUUUUGGUAUUUUUAAUAGAGAUGGAGUUUCUUCAUGUUGGCCAGGCUGGUCUUGAACUCCUGACCUCAGCUGAUCUGCCUGCCUCGGCCUCCCAAAGUGCUAGGAUUACAG